rnacentral:misc_RNA from 1 species
GGAAAUUAGAAGGAAUAAAUGAAUAUAUAUAUAUAUAGAUAUAGAUAUAUGUAGAAGACAAUGAAUCUUAAAUCAAUUACUCUGUUGAUGGGACCUGAAAUUCUAUAAACAAGCAAAAUGAAAAGAUCAAAUCUCCACAAACUUUUACCUCCAAUAAUCACUUACUGCUGCUGCCUUGGAUUCCUACCUUGUGAAAGCAAUAUGCUGAAAUGAACAAAUCAAAGACCCAAACUUACACUAUACAAGAAAAUAGGCAUUCUUUAAAUAUGUCCAAAGGCAUCCAUACCCUUGGCUUGAGGAUCUUAUUGCUCAAUCUGAAGCAUAUUACGGGACAUCGCUAGCAUCAGUCAAGAUUGAUCUUAAAC